AAAAAGGGCUUCUGCUGUGAGUAGCACAUAGAAGAGGUGGCUGCGUCUUUACCUUUUUCUGUGCGGAAUCGCUAUCAAGAGAUUUCGGAAGCAUAAUUUUUGUGCUGGGGGUAGCUGGUAAUCGCUUGUUCUGGCUCCCCA
ensembl:snRNA